rnacentral:tRNA from 1 species
GGCGUGGUGGUGAAGAGGUAACACCGGAGUUUGCAAAACUUCUAUGCGCAGGUUCGAUUCCUGUCCACGCCU